CCUACGGGAGGCAGCAGUGGGGAAUAUUGGUCAAUGGACGAGAGCCUGAACCAGCGAAGUAGCGUGAAGGAUGACUGCCCUAGGGGUGGUAAACUUCUUUUAUAAAGGAGUAAAUGGAGGCACGUGUGCCUUUUUGCAUGUACUUUAUGAAUAAGGAUCGGCUAACUCCGUGCCAGCAGCCGCGGUAAUACGGAGGAUCCGGGCGUUAUCCGGAUUUAUUGGGUUUAAAGGGAGCGUAGAUGGGUUGUUAAGUCAGUUGUGAAAGUUUGCGGCUCAACCGUAAAAUUGCAAUUGAUACUGGCAGACUUGAGUGCAGUUGAGGUAGGCGGAAUUCCUGGUGUAGCGGUGAAAUGCUUAGAUAUCACGAAGAACCCCGAUUGCGAAGGCAGCUUACUAAACUGUAACUGACAUUGAUGCUCGAAAGUGUGGGUAUCAAACAGGAUUAGAUACCCGAGUAGUC
rnacentral:rRNA from 1 species